rnacentral:rRNA from 1 species
UACGAAGGGGGGCUAGCGUUGCUCGGAAUCACUGGGCGUAAAGCGCACGUAGGCGGCUUCUUAAGUCAGGGGUGAAAUCCUGGAGCUCAACUCCAGAACUGCCUUUGAUACUGAGAGCUUGAGUCCGGGAGAGGUGAGUGGAACUGCGAGUGUAGAGGUGAAAGUUCGUAGAUAUUCGCAAGAACACCAGUGGCGAAGGCGGCUCACUGGCCCGGUACUGACGCUGAGGUGCGAAAGCGUGGGGAGCAAACAGG